AACAGGAUUAGAUACCCUGCUAGUCCACGCCGUAAACGAUGAUUGCCAGCUGUCCGGCUGCUUGGUUUUCGCUGGCCCCACCUAAGCAUUUAACUUUCCCGCUGGGGAGGACCGGCCGCAAAGUGAAACUCAAAGGAAAUUGACGGGGGCGUGCACCAGCGAUGAAGCAUGUGGCUUAAUUCAUACCAACGCGCUGAACCUUACCAUCUUGACAUAUGUCGGGACCAUUUAAGAUCAUGGAUCCUCUUCUUUGUGAACUGUGAACACAGGUGCUGCAUGACUGUCGUUCGCUCGUGUCGAUGGAUGUUGAGGUCCCGCCCCCAUCGCAACCCACCUCCGCUCUUUGCUUUCCAUCAUUCGGUUGGGUACUCUAAAGGAACCGGUGAUAGAUAAGCCGGAGGAUGGGGAUGAUGACGUCAAUCCUCCUCAUGGUCCUUACACGCUGGGACACACGCUGUUACACAAGCAGGGUCACAGUGCAGCAAUAACCCGAGGGUGAGAUCAUAUCCCCAACAACUGUCUCAUUUGAUAGUACUCUUCAAAUCGAGGGUGCGAAGAGGGAAACUCGAUUAAUAUCGGAUAAGCACACCGCGCGGAAAAUGUUUUCAGGCCCCUUCACACCGCCCCUCACACCACAUGAGUUGGAGUCUUACCAAGGCCUUCCAAUAACUCCCCAAAGAGGCAGGCGACCACGGUGGGUUCAGCGACUGGAGUGAAGUCGUAACAAGGUAACC
rnacentral:rRNA from 1 species